UGGGCUCCUAUGAGGUAGAGAGCAACUGC
rnacentral:piRNA from 1 species